CGUUAAUAGCUGAUGUAAAACGACGUACUUUCCUUAGAACUGGUAUUAAAAUCGAACAAUGAUGCCGAAUAUAACCAUUAAUAUUAAUUAUUUGAAAAGUUGGAAUGGAAUUGUUAAGAUCCUUCAAAUGAUACUGGGUGCGACUUGCGUAGGAAUUAUUGGUAACGAGUUCAGUUAUGAAUUUGUAAUUUUAUAUAAAGCAUCAGUAUUUAUAUUUUUUUUUAUCGCAACAUGUACUUUCUUUAUUAACACUUUUAUUCUAUAUGUCAGUAACCUAAUAUCUCCUUCUGCUGCAUCUAUUAUACC